rfam:Picea glauca, whole genome shotgun sequence.
GGGUGCAAUCAUACCAGCGUUAAUGCACCGAAUCCCAUCAGAACAACGCAGUUAAGCGCACUUGGGCUAGAGUAGUACUGGGAUGGGCGACCUCCCGUGAAGUCCUAGUGUUGCACCCU